ensembl:lncRNA
AAAUAAAAUGCCAUUUAACAUUGUUAUGAUAUUUACCAUUACACAUUUAAUAUUAUCAAUAAUAAAAAUAUACAAAUACAUUUAAUAUUAUAUAUAGUCCUACAGAUCAUCUUAAGGUAACAAACUGCUCGGAGCACAGACACAGUCCACCUAACAGAGUCACAGAUGGAGAUUCAAGCAGAAAAUCACCUUCUCAUGACCUGGAGCAUCUGAGACCAGUUGAGCACACAGAAAACCUUUUAGAUGCCCUCAGACAGGUUCCUGACAGACGGUGUGUGACGGCACCAUGUGGAGAUCGAUCACGAUCCUACAUACAUCUGAAGUCCACAAUCAACAUGAGUUACACAAAACAACUCAUGCAAAAUCCUCAUAUUACGGAGGCACAGACAGAGGAGCCAAUUAAAUUCAGUCCAGAGUUCUGCCUCCUCUCGUCCGUCUCAGAGGAACUGCAGGAUCUGGAACCACAAACAUUCCAGAUCAUCGAGGAGGAAGUGACAUCACUCGAUCCGUCCCGAUCAGGAACCAUCCAUCAGUCAGAACUCACAUGUCUCUUCCUCAGACUGCAGCUCCCUCUGAAGCUCACUACAUUGGCCUGUAUGUUCCAAUCCUUCAGUAACACCACUGACCCAGAGAAGGUGCACUAUCAAGACUUGAUGCAGUUCAUACAGAAAGCUGUACAAGAAGAAAAACAGCAAAGUGUUGAGGGCGAGAUCUGGGGUGGGUCAGUGGCCAGUACUGACCUGGAAUCAGUGAGUGACAGGAGCGAUGCCAAUGCAGAACAAAGAGAAACAUGGCUUCAGAGGUUCCAGAAGAUGGAGAUGGCCUUACAAAUGUGUGACACCCAAAACGCAGGUUAUGUGGACAGAGACCUAGCCAAACGCCUGCUACAGAACUACAGCCUCAUCUUUGAUCUGAAUCUGAGUCCUCUGAAGGUCAGCGAGGUCACGCGUAACACUCAGAUAGAGGGCAAAGUUCACCUCGCAUCAGCUCUGCAGAAACUGAAGGAACUAAACACAGCUUAACCUUUUUCUUAAACCGAAGCAAAUGCUACAGCAUUGCAGUCAUCUUUAAUAAAUGCUCUGCCUGGGAAAUAUUAACA